UACAGAGGUCUCAAGCGUUGUUCGGAUUCAUUGGGCGUAAAGGGUGCGUAGGUGGCGCGGUAAGUCGGGUGUGAAAUCUCGGAGCUUAACUCCGAAAUUGCAUUCGAUACUGCCGUGCUUGAGGACUGGAGAGGAGACUGGAAUUCCAGGUGUAGCGGUGAAAUGCGUAGAUAUCUGGAGGAACACCGGUGGCGAAGGCGGCAUCCUGGACCGGCAUUGACGCUGAGGAGCGAAAGCGUGGGGAGCAAACAGG
rnacentral:rRNA from 1 species